UGGGGAAUAUUGGACAAUGGGCGCAAGCCUGAUCCAGCCAUGCCGCGUGUGUGAAGAAGGCCUUUUGGUUGUAAAGCACUUUAAGCGAGGAGGAGGCUACUUGGAUUAAUACUCUAAGAUAGUGGACGUUACUCGCAGAAUAAGCACCGUCUAACUCUGUGCCAGCAGCCGCGGUAAUACAGAGGGUGCGAGCGUUAAUCGGAUUUACUGGGCGUAAAGCGUGCGUAGGCGGCUUCUUAAGUCGGAUGUGAAAUCCCUGAGCUUAACUUAGGAAUUGCAUUCGAUACUGGGAAGCUAGAGUAUGGGAGAGGAUGGUAGAAUUCCAGGUGUAACGGUGAAAUGCGUAGAGAUCUGGAGGAAUACCGAUGGCGAAGGCAGCCAUCUGGCCUAAUACUGACGCUGAGGUACGAAAGCAUGGGGAGCAAACAGG
rnacentral:rRNA from 1 species